rnacentral:rRNA from 1 species
CCUACGGGAGGCUGCAGUGGGGAAUAUUGGGCAAUGGGCGCAAGCCUGACCCAGCAACGCCGCGUGAAGGAAGAAGGCUUUCGGGUUGUAAACUUCUUUUCUCAGGGACGAAGCAAGUGACGGUACCUGAGGAAUAAGCCACGGCUAACUACGUGCCAGCAGCCGCGGUAAUACGUAGGUGGCAAGCGUUAUCCGGAUUUACUGGGUGUAAAGGGCGUGUAGGCGGGGACGCAAGUCAGAUGUGAAAACCAUGGGCUCAACCUGUGGCCUGCAUUUGAAACUGUGUUUCUUGAGUACUGGGGAGGCAGACGGAAUCCCUAGUGUAGCGGGGAAAGGCGUAGAUAUAAGGAG